UACAGAGGUCCCGAGCGUUGUUCGGAUUCACUGGACGUAAAGGGUGCGUAGGCGGUUCUCCAAGUCCGUUGUGAAAGCCCCGGGCUCAACCUGGGAAUGGCAGUGGAAACUAGGGGACUGGAAUCUGGCAGAGGGGGGUGGAAUGCCGCGUGUAGCAGUGAAAUGCGUAGAGAUGCGGCGGAACACCGAUGGCGAAGGCAGCCCCCUGGGCUGAGAUUGACGCUCAGGCACGAAAGCGUGGGGAGCAAACAGG
rnacentral:rRNA from 1 species